UCUUAUCAAACUUCAUACCCAGUUCAUCACGUUCUUUUCAUCAAAAGCUCGAAUAUUUCUCUCCGGCAAUUGCAUCUGCCCACUACUUCUUCUUUGACCACCACCACCAAGUUCCAACUUUACACUUUCUCUUCCAACAUGAGCCACUAUCAGAUCAGCCACCAUCACAACCAGAGUGUUGAUUGCGAUUCGGGCUCAGUUGAACAACCCAAAGCUAGGAGAAGCAUUCCCAAUGGAAAUUCGAAGCAUAAGAUGGAUCCAAAACCUGUUUAUAUUCAUGUGAGGGCUUGUCACGGGCAAGCAACCGAUAGCCAUAGCUGAGCUGAAAGAGCCAGAAGGGAGAAAUUAAAAAAGAAAAUGCAAUAUUUGCAAGAUUUGGUUCCAGGUUCCACAAGCGUAGACUUCAAUAUGGACAAUUCAUUGCCUGAAGAGCACCAGCAGAUACAUGUUUCCCAGUGGUAGUGAACCCAGAUUGCCAGAAGAAUUAUGGUUCAGACAAAAAUGGUAGCUAGGAAUUGUCCGCUAAAAAAAGGCAACACAACUGUGGAUGAUUCAUCAACCGAAGAAGAACGUGACGAAGAAACGGAGUCCGUAAUUGAAGAAUUAGAAAGCGAAGACAAUGUGAGCGAAAUAUAGAUUCAUUAAAAACCUUCAUUUAUUUAAUUCCAAUGUUUAUUUUCUUUUAAAACUCAUACCUGUUGGUUAUAUAUAUUCCUAAACGUAAGGAUAAUAUGGCUGAUGUUAUAUUUUAGAUGUUACAAACGUUGGAGCACCAUA